AUGAACGCCGAGGCCAUACAAGAGUUCAUACAAUUGGUCGACCGACUACGGAGUAUCCAACUAGUGGACAGGAUUGACGACAAAGUUGUCUGGUCUUGGAAAGGAGAUGGCUUGUUCUCGGUUCGGUCAGCUUAUCGAGCUCAUUUUGCUGCACGUAUUGAGUCCGCAGGAGCAAUGGAGAUUUGGAAGUCCAGAGCACCGGCAACGUGCAAGUUCUUUUCCUGGCUGGCGGCGCAGAAAAGAUGCUGGACGGCGGACAGAUUGCAGCGACGUUUAUUGCCACAUCCGGCGGCAUGCCCGUUCUGCGAUCAGGAGCCAAAAACGAUCGACCACCUGCUCCUUGGAUGUGUUCUCGCUCGACAAAUAUGGUCCGUCAUUAUGGGCAACUGGGGAAAGCCUCACUGGACUCCGGAGCCGGAGGCUGAGCUCGUUCGAUGGUGGACUUCCCUUAACAUCGAGAAGACCAAGAGGAAGGAAACAUGGACAGUGAUCACUUUAGUGGCUUGGACACUGUGGAAACAUAGGAACGACAUCGUGUUCAACGGAGCUUCCCCAUCUGUCAGCACGAUCCUCCGGCAGAUUGAGGCGGAGGGACAGAACUGGAGGGCUGCGGCCCUGCUGAGGGAGGCAAGAUCACUCCCAACUAGGUUAGACCGGUUGAGUGGUAGCGAGUAG
rnacentral:rRNA from 1 species